rnacentral:rRNA from 1 species
GACGAACGCUGGCGGCGUGCUUAACACAUGCAAGUCGAACGGAAAGGCCCUGCUUUUGUGGGGUGCUCGAGUGGCGAACGGGUGAGUAACACGUGAGUAACCUGCCCUUGACUUUGGGAUAACUUCAGGAAACUGGGGCUAAUACCGGAUAGGAGCUCCUGCUGCAUGGUGGGGGUUGGAAAGUUUCGGCGGUUUGGGAUGGACUCGCGGCUUAUCAGCUGGUUGGUGGGGUAGGUGCUUACCAAGGCUUUGACGGGUAGCCGGCCUGGGAGGGUGACCGGCGACAUUGGGCCUGAGGUACGGCCCAGACUCCUACGGGCGGCAGCAGUGGGGAAUCUUGCGCAAUGGGCGGAAGCGUGAUGCAGCAACGCCGCGUGCGGGAUGACGGGCUUCGGGUUGUAAACCGCUUUCGCCUGUGACGAAGCGUGAGUGACGGUAAUGGGUAAAGAAGCACCGGCUAACUACGUG